rnacentral:misc_RNA from 1 species
GAUGAAGAACGUAGUGAAAUGCGAUAAGUAAUGUGAAUUGCAGAAUUCAGUGAAUCAUCGAAUCUUUGAACGCACCUUGCGCCUUUUGGUAUUCCGAAAGGCACACCUGUUUGAGCGUCAUGAAUACCUCAAUCUCCAUCUUUUCUUCGGAUUGAUGGGUGACUUGGAUGUUGAGCCCUGCUGGUAUGCUAUAUCAGCUGGCUUUAAACUUAUUAGCCGGCUCUGUACUGGAUCGGUUUGACUCGACGUGAUAAUAUUAUCGUUGAGGAUGCAUGUCUCAUGCAGCCGGAAAGUAUCAAAGCAGCUUCUAGCUUGCCUUUAGUGCACUUUUACAUUUUAGACCUCAGAUCAGGUGGGACUACCCGCUGAACUUAAGCAUAUCAAUAAGCGGGGGA